AUGAACGCUGGCGGCGAGCCUAAUACAUGCCAGUCGAGCUAACGGACGAGAAGCUUGCUUCUCUGAUGUUAGCGGCGGACGGGUGAGUAACACGUGGAUAACCUACCUAUAAGACUGGGAUAACUUCGGGAAACCGGAGCUAAUACCGGAUAAUAUUUUGAACCGCAUGGUUCAAAAGUGAAAGACGGUCUUGCUGUCACUUAUAGAUGGAUCCGCGCUGCAUUAGCUAGUUGGUAAGGUAACGGCUUACCAAGGCAACGAUGCAUAGCCGACCUGAGAGGGUGAUCGGCCACACUGGAACUGAGACACGGUCCAGACUCCUACGGGAGGCAGCAGUAGGGAAUCUUCCGCAAUGGGCGAAAGCCUGACGGAGCAACGCCGCGUGAGUGAUGAAGGUCUUCGGAUCGUAAAACUCUGUUAUUAGGGAAGAACAUAUGUGUAAGUAACUGUGCACAUCUUGACGGUACCUAAUCAGAAAGCCACGGCUAACUACGUG
rnacentral:rRNA from 1 species